CUUGCAAUGGAAACAUACAGUUGCAUUAUCUUUCUGGUGCCUCAAACACCACAGCGGAUACAGCAGUGCCAUUGCCCACUCGUGCGGCUCGAGGGUUAGGCACAAAUGCCAAGUCUGCACCUAGGAAAAGGAAAUCAAACACAGCAUAACAAGAGGAAAACACUUGGCUCAACAAUAGUGCAGCUUCCUCUUGAAAAGAGGAGAGGCCCCUUCAAAACAAGGCCCCUUCUUCGUGGAACGCCACUGCUCCUCUUUCGUGCUGCUUGAUGGUGACCCUGAGCCGGAAAGCCGUUCCCUCACGCAGCUGGAACAGGUAGGGUGCAGCUCUGCUUGGUUCCUCUUCUUGGCCCUCUCACUGUGGUGUCAGAGAAAAGUCACUUGGGUUUUGCCAGCCCCCUUGCCUCGAAGGGCGAGAAACAAUCGUUCUUCCGAGAGGUGGCUGGAAGGCGGCACCCAUCUUUCCCCCGCUGCUGAUCAAGACCUCGUCAAGCCCAUUUCGCCAGGGGGACGCGGAAGGGCCCCCCCGAAUCCUGUUGGCCCCUCUUCCAAUCCACGCCCCGCUCACCAAGGCUGGAGACAGAACCGUGUCUUCAUUUCAGGGGGGCAGGAAUGGCUGGAAAGGCGGAUGGGAGACGUGUCACACGUGGACAUGUGCCUCUGCUAUCGCCUUGGGGUGACGGGGUUGGUGGGGGGUUGUGCUGCCAAGAUCCUGCAGAAUAAGUUUGAUCGGGGCAACAGUGGGGCCCAAGGAGGACCUGCACGUCCCGAGCCUCCGGCUCAUGAGUCAAAGCUGGGGGAGACCGUAAUGUUGGGGUGCGCGCAAUCGGCCGGUAGUCUUCCAAGAGGACAUUGGACUCGCUUGGAAUUCUGCCCCUCCGAUGCCUCUCUCUUCUCUGGCUGGUCUCCAAACGUUGAGCCUUUCCCAGCGGCCCCAGACGUAGGCAUCCUGCACCAAGCUCCUUCCCAAUGGUGGCGCCUCCAGAGAGCAGGGAAACUGCACCAGUGAGGCUUCUGCCCCAUUUGCAGCGUGAUUUGAGGCUGAAUCGACUGAGGCUCAGUUGCAUGGACGCUGUGAAGAACCUUCAAAUGCGAUGUAGAGAUGGUAAGUGGUGUCCGUGGUUCUUCCACACUUCGCACAAGCCUCAGAAUCAUUCUCUUUCCCCUCCUUCUACAGCCUAGAAAUGUCUCUAGUUGCCAGGGAACAUUUUGCCUCCUCUUUUACUUGGGAUUAGGGUUAGUCCUAAGACCCCCCAAGCCUGAAAGCUAAGAAUGGUUCUUGUCCCAGAAAACCCUUCAGGCCAAUCCUGGGAUGGAUCUUCCAAAGGAAGCGUUAAGAUGGCAUAGGUCUUUCAGAAAUAAAAAAGCAGCCACUUGUUCUAAAUCAAAUGCCAGAUUGGCUCUCAUUCUUGCUUACUUUUGUUUAAAAAUGUCUAGAAGUAAAAGAUUUGCUGCUGCUUUCAUUCUAGGAGGCAGGACACACCCAGAGGUUAUAUUUAGAGCAGAAUCCCAUCAAACUUUGUUAAAACAAAGGCGUCCAUCUCAUACUCGCUUCCCCGGGGGUUAAUUCCAUUGAAUUCGUUAAGAAUUCUUCCAAAGCAUGCACAGGAUUUCUUCAUAACAUGCCCCAUUAAAAACAACAGAAUGGAACCGAGCCGUGAUGAUCUUGACCGCACUGGGGACUUCUUUCCAUCGUGCUCAGUAUCUUUUCAAACUCUGUAGUGCUCCAAAAAGACAACCAUGCCCAGAUUUUAAGAACUGAAAGGCGACAAACUGGGAAGUCUCAGGGGAACUUAAUCAUAUUGAUCAAGCAGUAAAUUAGAUGAUGAAUAACUACAGAAAGUGAAAAGGUAGAUUGCUGUGGCCCUUCCGCAUUGGAAAACGGAAGCCCAGUAAUGGAUGGAAUGCCUGGCUAUCGACCAGAUGGUCUUCCUUCCCCGAAACUAAUUCGGAGGACACCAAGUUAGAGGUUGCAUUUGGGACCUGGGCGCACGAUCCCAAGAAGCCUUGUUGAAAUGGAUGGGAACUGGGCAAGAGCCUCCUUCUCAGCCAGCGAACGGAGCAGGGAGUUCAUUACAGAAAAGGGCCUCUUUCUGAUUUUCUGGGCAGUUUCUUAGGUGCAGUGGCAGCGGCAGCUGCGGCUGUGCCUGGUGCGUGCCCAGGGGCCUGAGCAAGCUGGACAGCACCUUCACGGGAAAGCUCGCAGGAUCUCACGAUCCUGGCCCCUUUUGGGGCUUGAAUUCCCUCUUUCUAGCAGACAACUAAAGCCAUCACUGGCUCUACGUUUCAUCCAGUUAAUGUUCAUUUUAAAAGUGGUUGUUUCUCACUCUGAACCCGAAGGGCAGCGGAAGACUGAAAGGCACCCAUGAAAGCAGCUGGGUGGAAUGGGACUGGGGAGGACGGGAUGCAACGACCGGAUGCAAAAGUGUUCUCACAUUUAUUCGCCACUUUGCUUGCUCCUGCAAGCGACCCCGGGUGGCUGGCUCACAAGCUUCUCCUCCUCUCCACUUCUGUCCUCAAAGCAACAGCCCUGUGAGGUGGGCUAGGUGGAGAGUCCAUACGGGCCUCGGGCCCCCCAGUGAGCUCAUGGCUGAGCGGGAACCGGAACCUGCAUCUCCUGAGUCCCGGUCCUGCACUCUCUCCGUGACCCCACACUCCAAGCGGUGCAGAAGCAGGACAUUCGGCAGGACUGCUUGGGGUGGUCCCUGGGACUGGCCCGGCAUAAGCCGUUUCCCCGUGCGCCUCCUGCAGACCAAAUUUCCACCCUGCCCAGUAGGACUUGCUGCAUUCCAGUGCCACCCAAUCACUCGGGUGGUUUCCAAAGCACUUCCCAUGCAAUAACAGAGAAUAAAAAUGUGAAUUUUGUGCAGUACAAAUGCAAGUCCCACUGUACUUGAAGUAUUUAGGACGUCAGCCCAAAUUAUCUUGGAAAUGAGUCUGGUAAUUCUUCAUGUGGGUAUUAAUAAAUGGCCAGGUGGGGCCUGACUGCCUUCCUUCGCUCUCUCUCUCCCUCCCUGUUUCUCUCCGAUCAAAUGUGUCUUAUUCAAUGGUCAUGUUGAAAAUAGAUGAAUUUUGCACGCUUGCGCACAGUACACCAUGGACCCUUGUGCACUGUGACCCGAUGCCUCAGAGGCCGUGAUUAGAAGGGGGAGCCCCGAGCGCCCAGUUUUUUCUCCGUCUCUGCAAUUGUGCAAACAGACAGUCGCAAACAGGGCUUUCCACGUGCAUUAAGCCACAGCAAGCUCACAGGACUCGUGCGGAUUUCUUAAUUACGAGAAGGCAUGAAAGAAAGGGGAAUACCAGCCUUUGUGGCUUGCAUCCUUCUCAGAUUCUUCCCAGUGUGGAAACACCAGCUGCAUAUGGCGGGACAGCUCUCCAUGCCCCCAGCCCGCUGCCAGAUCCCUGGAGUGCGGCAUCGUGGGUGCUCUCAGGUUCUGCCCUGGCAUUAGGGCAGAACCUCUGGCCUCCCUCCAGCAACGCAGGCAGACAUCCAGUGCUAGAUAAUUCUGCAAAUAUAAAUAAAUGCAUGUGAGGCAUUGCAGGUCACGGGUAGCUUAGACAUUUGCACCCCAGUACAAGCUCCCUACAGACAACCUACAAAACAUGAACCAUUCCAAAAGGGCACCUGGAGGGCACGAGGGAUGCUGAAGGGGGGCAGGUGGAGGUGCCGUGUGUCCGAGGAGACCUGUUGGCCCCCCAGGGAGAAACGGAGAGCAGCCUCCCCCCUUCCUUCCACAGGCAGGGGGCAUCUCGGCUGCCUGCUUCGUGGACUUUCCGUUUUGGUAUGUGAAGAUCAGGCUCGGAGUAACCAUCCGUGAAUUCUGUCUGUUCUCUUCUCCCCCAGGGUGUCGGCCUGCUGCAGGCGUCUCCGGCCGUCUUCCACAACAGCCCUGCAGUGCUGCAUUCCGUGUAUUUGACGAGCUGAGUUCGACACUCAGUGUGGCAGAGUGUCAGUUUGUCAAAUAUACAAAGUGCGGCAUCUGCCCAGCAACGCUGCGCCUCGGCUGAGACCGCUGGACCUCGGGCGUCUGCACGGGGGGGGGGCCACGGGGGCUUCGGAGGGUGCAGGCUGCUCUGCAUUUUCGAGCUUUUAGACUUCCUCCCGUAGCCAGUUUUCUCCCUCCCUCCCUCCCUCCAGACCUGUCAUCCUGAAAGCCAGUACCUUCUCCAUAAGUCAUCCUUCUCCAACCAGGAACCCUCCAGAUGUGAUGGGCUACAAUUCCCAUGGUCCCCAGCCAUCAUGCCCAGCGGCCACGGUGGCAGGGCAGGAUGGAACAUGUUGGCCAGCACAACUGGGGGCUGCCAGUGGGUCGAGAGUGCAGCUCCUUGCAGCUUCCGGGCAGCAAAGGGAGCCCUCCCCCUGCCCCUCGGUUUAUUGCUGGAGCAACACAGGGCCCUGCAGAGUUUAAGGACUAGUGCCCUGAGCAGGCGGUCCUGCACAUGCCUCCUCAGAAGCAAGCUCCAUUGACCUCAAGGGGGCGGGUGGGGACUGCCGUCUCGGAGCAGCGUGAGCACUGAUGGCCUGGCACCGGGGAAGAGAAACUCUGUCCUCCGGAACUUGGUGGACUGCCGCCCUUGGCCAGGCUGGCUGGGGCUGAUGGGACCUGGAGGGCUGCUUACUCCCCUCCCCGGCCUGGAGAAAACUGGCGGUGAAUUUGCAUAGACACAGAUCAAAUGCCACUGCAUGCAGAGGGGCACUUCCGGAAGUAAACGGGAUCACUGGAAGGGGAAUCGGACCCAGUCCAGCGCUGUGGGGGAACCGAACCAGCAACCUGCAAGUUGCCCUGCUAGGCUUCUCCACAGAUGGAGCUUUGUAUUAACCUGGCUUGAAGUCCAGCCCUUCAGAGGAAGGAUGCCUUUUAAAUAGAGGGCAGUCCUCUGUCAGCCUUUCAGCAGAGGACUGUCCUCUGUGAAGGAGGACAUCUGGCCACCCAGAAGCCUACAUGCAGGGCAUCAAGGCGAGAGCUGCAAGUCACAGCCCACGGGAUGCCUCGACAGCUUCCUCCCCCGUGCCCUCGGCCCGCACCCGUGCAAAGCCCCCUGAGUUCCAUCCCAUCACGGCAGCAAACGCCUGCGGAUUGUAUCAGUGAAUCAAGUGGCGUGUGAAGAAGCUUUGCUUCUCGCCUGGAACUGGAGCUUUGCCAGGAGCGUUGCUGGAUGACCUGCGGGGAGGGAGGGAAACAUCCCCCUAGGAAUAUUGGACAAGCUCUGGGGGUGACGAGGACUUCCAGGGUCUCCUCUGGUUCCAACUAUGGGUGGCAAGGAGGAUGGUCCUCUCCAGGUCCUGGCAAGAACAGGGAGCAAAAGCCGGGGGGAAGGUGAGCUGGGGAAGAGAGGGGGGACUCCUUGAAGGAGGGUGAAAGACCAGGGUCGGGAUGGGAGGGGAUGUCCUUGUGCAAGAGCAAGAAGCUGGAACCUUUCAUCCUCUUGCUUCUCUUGUUCCAGUGGGUUUGUUCAUACAUGACUGUCUGACUUUCCCGGAGCUUCAGCAGUCCUACAAGACCUGAGUCCAAAUAGGGGAAAGGUUUUACGCUCUCUUCCCCAGCCUGCAUGGUGCAUUUUGCUCACUGCCUGAGAGGCUGCACAGUGUUAGAUGACUUAUUAAAAUGCAGGCUGGCUUUAGAUCCAGCUUAGCUGAGAGCUUUUCAAAACGUGGACUUCUGGAUUUAUUUAUGUAUUGGUUUGAUCAUUUCAUUUCUAUACCUUCCAAUAGCCAAAAGGCUCUCUGGGCGAUCCGCAAAGUUAACAAGCACGCAUUAAAAAAACAAUAUAUAAUAAACAAUAAGACAAUUGG